GAACGCACAUUGCGCCCCUUGGUAUUCCGAGGGGCAUGCCUGUUCGAGCGUCAUUACACCACUCAAGCUAUGCUUGGUAUUGGGCGUCGUCCUUAGUUGGGCGCGCCUUAAAGACCUCGGCGAGGCCUCACCGGCUUUAGGCGUAGUAGAAUUUAUUCGAACGUCUGUCAAUGGAGAGGACUUCUGCCGACUGAAACCUUUAUUUUUUACAGGUUGACCUCGGAUCAGGUAGGGAUACCCGCUGAACUUA
rnacentral:misc_RNA from 1 species